GAUGAACGCUGGCGGCGUGCCUAAUACAUGCAAGUCGAGCGAACAGACGAGGAGCUUGCUCCUCUGACGUUAGCGGCGGACGGGUGAGUAACACGUGGAUAACCUACCUAUAAGACUGGGAUAACUUCGGGAAACCGGAGCUAAUACCGGAUAAUAUAUUGAACCGCAUGGUUCAAUAGUGAAAGACGGUUUUGCUGUCACUUAUAGAUGGAUCCGCGCCGCAUUAGCUAGUUGGUAAGGUAACGGCUUACCAAGGCAACGAUGCGUAGCCGACCUGAGAGGGAGAACGGCCACACUGGCACUGAGGCACAGUCCAGACACCUACGGGAGGCAGCAGUAGGGAAUCUUCCGCAAUGGGCGAAAGCCUGACGGAGCAACGCCGCGUGAGUGAUGAAGGUCUUCGGAUCGUAAAACUCUGUUAUUAUGGAAGAACAAAUGUGUAAGUAACUAUGCACGUCUUGACGGUACCUAAUCAGAAAGCCACGGCUAACUACGUG
rnacentral:rRNA from 1 species